AUAUAUAUGUGUGUGUGUAUAUAUCUAUGUGUGUGUGUGUGUGUGUGUGUGUAUAUAUAUAUACACACACACACACACACACACACACACACACACACACACACACGUGGGAUCUUCCUGGACUGGGGCACGAACCCAUGUCCCCUGCAUCGUUAGGCGGACUCCUAACCACUG
rnacentral:snoRNA from 1 species